rnacentral:rRNA from 1 species
AUUGAACGCUGGCGGAAUGCUUUACACAUGCAAGUCGAGCGGCAGCACGGGGGUAACCCUGGUGGCGAGCGGCGAACGGGUGAGUAAUACAUCGGAACAUGCCCAGUCGUGGGGGAUAACACUUCGAAAGAAGUGCUAAUACCGCAUACGUCCUGAGGGAGAAAGCGGGGGAUCGCAAGACCUCGCGCGAUUGGAGUGGCCGAUGUCAGAUUAGCUAGUUGGUGGGGUAAAGGCCUACCAAGGCAACGAUCUGUAGCUGGUCUGAGAGGAUGAUCAGCCACACUGGGACUGAGGCACGGCCCAGACUCCUACGGGAGGCAGCAGUGGGGAAUUUUGGACAAUGGGGGCAACCCUGAUCCAGCCAUUCCGCGUGAGUGAAGAAGGCCUUCGGGUUGUAAAGCUCUUUCGGCAGGAACGAAACGGUGAGCUCUAACAUAGCUUGCUAAUGACGGUACCUGAAGAAGAAGCACCGGCUAACUACGUG